GCGUGUGUAGUUUAAUGGUAGAAUGUUGGUCUUCCAAACCAAGGGUGAGAGUUCAAUCCUCUCUACACGCUCCA
rnacentral:tRNA from 1 species